rnacentral:rRNA from 1 species
UAUUGGACAAUGGGCGCAAGCCUGAUCCAGCCAUGCCGCGUGAGUGAUGAAGGCCCUAGGGUUGUAAAGCUCUUUUGUGCGGGAAGAUAAUGACGGUACCGCAAGAAUAAGCCCCGGCUAACUUCGUGCCAGCAGCCGCGGUAAUACGAAGGGGGCUAGCGUUGCUCGGAAUCACUGGGCGUAAAGGGUGCGUAGGCGGGUCUUUAAGUCAGGGGUGAAAUCCUGGAGCUCAACUCCAGAACUGCCUUUGAUACUGAAGAUCUUGAGUUCGGGAGAGGGGAGUGGAACUGCGAGUGUAGAGGUGAAAUUCGUAGAUAUUCGCAAGAACACCAGGGCGAAGGCGGCUCACUGGCCCGAUCCUGACGCUAGCACGAA